rnacentral:rRNA from 1 species
AUACGGAGGGUGCAAGCGUUACCCGGAAUCACUGGGCGUAAAGCGCGUGCAGGCGGCUUGAUAAGUUGGAUGUGAAAGCCUACGGCUCAACCGUAGAACUGCAUCCAAAACUGUCAGGCUAGAGUGUGGGAGAGGAAGAUGGAAUUAGUUGUGUAGGGGUAAAAUCCGUAGAGAUAACUAGGAAUACCAAAAGCGAAGGCAAUCUUCUGGAACAGUACUGACGCUGAGGCGCGAAAGCGUGGGGAGCAAACAGGAUUAGAAACCCCAGUAGUCC